rnacentral:rRNA from 1 species
CGGCGGACGGGUGAGUAACGCGUGGGUAACCUACCUCAUACAGGGGGAUAACAGUUGGAAACGGCUGCUAAUACCGCAUAAGCGCACAGUACCGCAUGGUACCGUGUGAAAAACUCCGGUGGUAUGAGAUGGACCCGCGUCUGAUUAGCUAGUUGGUGGGGUAACGGCCUACCAAGGCGACGAUCAGUAGCCGACCUGAGAGGGUGACCGGCCACAUUGGGACUGGGACACGGCCCAA